AACGAACGCUGGCGGCAUGCCUAACACAUGCAAGUCGAACGAGACCUUCGGGUCUAGUGGCGCACGGGUGCGUAACGCGUGGGAACCUGCCCUUAGGUUCGGAAUAACUCCCCGAAAGGGGUGCUAAUACCGGAUAAUGUCUUCGGACCAAAGAUUUAUCGUCGUUGGAUGGGCCCGCGUUGUAUUAGCUAGUUGGUAGGGUAAAAGCCUACCAAGGCGACGCUCCAUAGCUGGUCUGAGAGGAUGAUCAGCCACACUGGGACUGAGACACGGCCCAGACUCCUACGGGAGGCAGCAGUGGGGAAUAUUGGACAAUGGGCGAAAGGCUGAUCCAGCAAUGCCGCGUGAGUGAUGAAGGCCUUAGGGUUGUAAAGCUCUUUUACCCGGGAUGAUAAUGACAGUACCGGGAGAAUAAGCUCCGGCUAACUCCGUG
rnacentral:rRNA from 1 species